GCCCUCCGCUCCUGUGCUGGGCCCUGGCGGCCCCUCCCGUUCCUGCGGUCUCCCCUGCCCUCUGCUCCUGCGCGGGGCCCCGGCGGCCCUCCGGUGGCUGCGGCCUCCCCUCCGCUCCCUGUUGCACUGGUUCCCCAGGCGCCCCUUGGGUUCCAGGUGCUGGGCUGAGCUCCGAACACCGACGGUAAAGCAAAAUCAGAACAGUCUCUACGGUCGCAGAGCUCAGUCUCCUCGGACGGAUGGACACCAAUCAGACCAACGCACAUGAGGUCACCGCGACCUGCGUGCCACUGUAGGUGACAACCUGCGGCCUAACGCGGUGGCCUGAACCGGCCCUUCGGCUGACUCGGCACCACGAGGGGGCUCUGCUCUGCUCCGAAGGGCUCUCCUACAGCCUCCCGGCCAUCUGGGGGUCAGCCGGUGGCUGGGUGGUAGAAUGGCCUCGCUGGCAAGUGUCGGGGUGGGAAGGCUGUCAACACGCCAGUGAGCUCUUGCACACUACCACACGGGCAGUAAGCAAAGUGCAUGGUGCCAGGGUCGCCCCUUCUUGAUACAGAAGUCUGCUUUGAACUACUUGGGGGAAAGUAUUUCAUUGAGAAAGUGACAUUUGAGCUGAGGCCUCAGGACUGGGGAGGGGUUGACUGGGUGUGGGAGGAGGGACGGUAGAGGCAGAUUCCCUCCCUCCCACUCCUGCCCGUUCAGUUUCCCCUAACCUCCACAUCCCCUGCCUCCAUUCCCUCCAUCUCUCCUGCAUCCCUAAUCCCAGCCACUGCCGUCCUUCACCUUCACGGCAGCCCCCCUUAUUGGGUUCUCCGCACCCACAGUUGAACAUUGCCAUGCAGAACAUGGAGAGCAGAUCCUGCCAGCCUUUCAAAGCCUCUGCCCCAUCAUCUGAAUGUUUAUGUCUCCCCCAAAAUCAGAUGCUGAAUGCCUAAGCCCAAAGAUUUUAUUUAUUCAUGAGAGAUGCAGAGAGAGGCAGAGACACAGGCAGAGGGAGAAGCAGGCUCCCUACGAGGAGCCCAAUGUGGGACUCGAUCCCGGGACUCCAGGGUCACACCCUGAGCCAAAGUCAGAUGCUCAACCGCUGAGCCACUCAAGUGCCUCAGACUUUUAAAUCUUUAAGCAAAGGCCUCAUGUAAAAUUUUUGAACGAAUAUGUAUUGUACUCUUCCAGCCUCCACUGAACAUACGGAAUGAAUAUGUUCUAGGAACCAUU